rnacentral:rRNA from 1 species
GAAUAUUGCACAAUGGGCGAAAGCCUGAUGCAGCGACGCCGCGUGAGGGAUGACGGCCUUCGGGUUGUAAACCUCUUUCAGCAGGGACGAAUUUGACGGUACCUGCAGAAGAAGCGCCGGCCAACUACGUGCCAGCAGCCGCGGUAAGACGUAGGGCGCGAGCGUUGUCCGGAUUUAUUGGGCGUAAAGAGCUCGUAGGCGGCUUGUCGCGUCGACUGUGAAAACCUGUGGCUCAACUAUGGGUCUGCAGUCGAUACGGGCUAGCUAGAAUUCGGUAGGGGAGACUGGAAUUCCUGGUGUAGCGGUGAAAUGCGCAGAUAUCAGGAGGAACACCGGUGGCGAAGGCGGGUCUCUGGGCCGAUAUUGACGCUGAGGAGCGAAAGCGUGGGGAGCGAACAG